GUUGUUCAGUAAAAUGUCGUAUGAGAUUUCAAGAGAGCACAGCUAACCUAAUUUUGGAGAGUGAGGAUCACUUAUUGGGAAGACAUGAAGCACAAAUAGGUGAAAGACAAGAAUUCUGUGGGUUAAGGCCCAGAGGACAAACAAGACACAAGCAAAGCUUCGUUAAGCAUUUGCCCACUGGGACUUGUCCUCUUGGAAUACUCUCUGCCAGCAUCCAGGCAUGUAACAAAACAAGGUGGUUCUAAAGACUGCAAUCUUAAAGACUGCACUCCAGUGCUUCUCAAAGGAGACCACACCCUGCACCAGGAAUUAAAAUUGGAGUCUCAUGUGAAGAGUGAUUGAUGUUCUCACUAUUGCAUUCAAGCUGUAGUCAUCAUAAAAUCCACUCAGCCCGAUGUGCCUCAGUGAUUCUAAUCCUGGCAUGUCCUGAAUCGACUGAAGGUUGCAGAAGCACUGCAAAGUUGUCUAUGAAAUUCCACCAAAGUGCUUACUCGCAAUACUUUUGACUCUAAGAACUCUAUUGGCCUGGAUUAUAGAUGCAAUCACUGAUUUUAAAUGGAAGACACAAAAUAGGCUCAGAGCCUCAAUGAUAACAAUUUGAUGUCCUCAUUCAAGUUGACCUUGAGGAACAGAGAAGUAAUGCUGUUGCCUACAGACUGUGCCUUCCGUUUCAAUGCCACCCCACAGAGGUGGUAAAUGUUUCAGUUAUCGUCUUUAAACUGCAGUCUUUUAAAUGUUGUUUUAAAUGAAGCCCUAGUAAUAUUCUCCUCCCAAAACACAAUCUGUGAAAAUGGCAUAUGUUUCAUUUAUGAUAAAGGUGUUUAUUCCAUUUAUACAUAUGAGUCUAAAACUAACAAUCUUUGAGCACUAAAAAUGUGUGCUCAAACAUGGGACUAAGAACCCCUAAUGUAACAUCUUAUUUAAUCCUUACAACAGUCUUAUGAAAUGGGACUAUCUUGAUUUCACAGAUGAGGAAAGCCUUAAUAAAGUUAUAUAACUUCUCCAAGUCCAUACACUUGAUAGGUUUACAAGAACUGGGACUUGAACUACAUCUUUCUGGUCACGGAGAGUUAGCUAUAAUAUGAAGGUCCUUUUUACAUUUAAUAGUACGGCAAAAUGAAGACAA